CCUCUGUCUUUCACUCUGGGAGACGUUUGAGACCCAGCGUCUCUAGAUCUCGUAUUUGAAUUUGUGGCGCUUGGUGUCCGCGAGUUGCCGAAUGAAGCUGAGCGUCUCAGUGGAACCAGGGAUCUCAGGGAGGGGAAGGUAUAAAAUUUUCAAAUGGAGGAGUAUACCUGAACCUAAUCAUGGAUGUGAUUUUAUAUACAGAUAAGCUGAUUCUAAAACUUACAAGAAUGGCAAAGAAACAAGAAGAGCUUAAACUGCAAUCAUCAACAGAGAAGCUUUCUGCAACCAAAGUGAAGACUGAAGCCUUAGGCUAUGGCAGAAGUUGGGCGCCUGAAGUACACGUGGAAAUAUGCCAACUGAACAUUGGACUACCACGUCAAGGGUCUCCUACCCCUGGGCCAUGGAUCAAUACCAGUCUGUGACCUGUUAGGAACCGGUAGCAGGAGCGCCUGCCCCUGGCUCAGCGCCCGGUGCCAACAGAACACCUUUCAGGAUCCACAGCAACGCAGACAACGGAACUCACAAGGGCUUCGGUUCUCAAGAGGCCAUCAAAACAUAACUGCUGCCGAGACAAUACCUUUCCUUCCCCUCACUACAUUCACUGAAUGUUCUGGAUCAGUGCGUCUCACACCUUUGGAUCUUAUAAGCUACUUGGAAAAAUUUUAAAGCACCUGAUGGAUUUGGAAAAUAUUUAAUGAAGACAAUGAUGCUG
rnacentral:lncRNA from 10 species